rnacentral:rRNA from 1 species
GACGAACGCUGGCGGCGUGCUUAACACAUGCGAGUCGUACGGUAAGGCCCUUUCGGGGGUACACGAGUGGCGAACGGGUGAGUAACACGUGAGUAACCUGCCCACAACUUUGGGAUAACGCUAGGAAACUGGUGCUAAUACUGGAUAUGUGCUCCUGCUGCAUGGUGGGGGUUGGAAAGCUCCGGCGGUUGUGGAUGGACUCGCGGCCUAUCAGCUUGUUGGUGGGGUAGUGGCCUACCAAGGCGGCUACGGGUAGCCGGCCUGAGAGGGUGACCGGCCACAUUGGGACUGAGAUACGGCACAGACUCCGACGGGAGGCAGCAGUGGGGAAUAUUGCACAAGGGGCGCAAGCCUGAUGCAGCAACGCCGCGUGCGGGAUGACGGCCUUCGGGUUGUAAACCGCUUUCAGCAGGGACGAAGCUUUUUGUGACGGUACCUGCAGAAGAAGCACCGGCUAACUACGUG